UGCUGCUGGCCAAGGUGUCCUGUGGGUGUGCUGGUGUCAUUCAGCUCCUGGAGUGGCUUGAGCUCCCCGACAGCUUCUUGAUGGUGCUGGAGCAUCCAGAGCAGUGCCAGGAGCUGUCGGAUUUCCUGGCGGAGCAGUGCCAGGAGCUGUCGGUUUUCCUGGCGGAGCGGAGGUUCCUGCCGGAGGAGGAGGCGCGGGGGCUGUUCCGCCAGGUGCUGGAGGCCGUGCGGCACUGCAGCAGCUGCGGGGUCCUGACAGGGACAUCAAGCCCGAGAACAUCCUGCUCGACCUGGCCAGCGGGCAGCUGAAACUGAUCGACUUUGGCUGUGGCGCUUUCCUCCAAGACACAGCCUACACCCAGUUUGCAGGAACCCUGGCCUACAGCCCACCAGAGUGGACCCAGCACCAAAGCUACCACAGCGAGGCAGCGACGAUCUGGUCCCUGGGCCUCCUGCUGUACCAGCUGGUCGUGGGGAAGCACCCGUUCAGGAGGGGCCAGGAGAUGAUCUGGGGGCGCAUCUUGUUCCCACCACGGCUCUCUCAAGAGUGCCAAGAUGUCAUUAAGAGCUGUUUGUCCAUGCAACCCUCGGACAGGCCAUCAUUAGAAGAGCUUUUCUGCCAUCCUUGGAUGCAGGGUGCUCCUCGUCCCUAGAAGAUGAGAGAGAUCCAUGUGCACAGUUGGAUCCAGAGGCCUGGCAGGGAAGGAGAAGGAGCUCCUGGAGAAGCUGUACCAGGUGGGGCUGCUGCUGGAGACAGCAAGGACAACCUCAAGGAUGAAAACCUCUUCCUUGGCCUGGCCAGCUGAAGAAGAUGGACUUGGAUUCUGGCACCUUCUCUAAAGACACCCUCCACACCCAAUUUGCAGGUGCUGAGGCUGCUCUGGGCUCUGCCAUGGCUCUGCUGGGCUCAUCCCUGGACACAGCUGGGCUGGCUCUGCCCUCACAUUGCUGUGACAGCUUUGCAUCAGACGAGCCGGUUCCGAGCACAGCGCCUGAGCUUUCUGCUUUGGCAGAAGUGCCACGAGAGGGCCAAACGUGGCGAGUGGGCCGUGUUCCUGAGGCAGUGCAGUCUGGAGAUGAUGGAUGGAGAAUUGCCCUUCUGCACUCCCAAACCAGAGCAAAGAGCUAAAACAUGCUGUAAAAAAAGAGUGCCCUUUGCUCCUGGCUCUCGUGUGGAGCAGCUCCCUUCCUGCUGGCUGAGCUGCUCAGGCAGAGCCCGGCAGCUCCUGGCCCUGCAGGGCUGAGGCUUUUCCCCACUGCUGGGCACAGACUGAUGGAGCAGCACUGCUGAACACGGGCACACAGAGGGACCAGGAGCAGCUGCCUUUGGCCACCUGAGGCUCCAAGGCCCAAACUCUGAGCAGC